UACGGAGGGGGCUAGCGUUGUUCGGAAUUACUGGGCGUAAAGCGCGCGUAGGCGGCUUUGCAAGUCAGAGGUGAAAGCCCGGGGCUCAACCCCGGAAUUGCCUUUAAGACUGCAUCGCUUGAAUCCGGGAGAGGUGAGUGGAAUUCCGAGUGUAGAGGUGAAAUUCGUAGAUAUUCGGAAGAACACCAGUGGCGAAGGCGGCUCACUGGACCGGUAUUGACGCUGAGGUGCGAAAGCGUGGGGAGCAAACAGG
rnacentral:rRNA from 1 species